UUUACUUAUGCUAUGAUUACUACAGAAAAUGUAAAUUCUAGAAUUAUGAAUAUUGUUGCAGUAUCCUUUUCUUUUUUCCUUUUUUUCUUUACUUCAGCUCUUAUUUCCUUGGUUAUACAUCAUUAGUUGAAUUUAAUUUUUCCUUAAUUUAAUUUUUUCUGAUUAACUGUCAUGCAUUGGACAUUUUACUUGGGAACAAUGUUUUAGGGGCAUUUCUUGAGUUUGAUUAUGACUCAAAUGAUGAGUUAGAAGAGUUUUACCAUAUGGCUAUCUCCAAUGUACGAAAAAACUACAUGGGACAUUCAGGUUAUCUUGGCUCCUUUGUAAUGGUUGAACAUGUUUUUAUCAACUUGAGGUAUAAUAAAUGUAGCCUCUUAAAUGAAUCUAAGCCUCUUUUUGGUGGAUGAGAAAAUAUUUGUAGUGGAAAAAAUUUAGCUAAACCAUGUUGCUAACCUUUAAAGUUGAAACCAUCCUCAUGUAUUAUGCAGCCUGGAAAGGAGUAACUGUUCUCCUAUACUUUGAUGAGGCCCUUCUGAGAAAUUAUUUAGUCAUGAACACUAUCCCUUUCUGAAGAUAACUCCAAAGAGUAACUCCACUGUAGCAAAGGCUUUUUUCUUUUUUAAUGUUUUGGGAUUGACCUGCAAAAUUCCAUUUUGUGUGAAGAAUGGGAGGCUACAAAAUGUCACCAUUGAGCUGUUGCCUACUUGCAACUCAUAAUAGAUUUAUUUGUUAGGUAUAUUUAAGAUUAAAAAUGGUUUGUUAAUAAAAUAAUUUAGACAAACUAAUAUAUUUAUUGGUAAAAUUUAUUAGUUAAUGAGAGUUUGUAAGUACAAAAUCUAAUAAGACAUAUAUAGUUAAUCUUAGAAGCUAAAUGCUUUAGAUUAAUUAGAAACAAAAAAUAAUAUAUAAAGUGGAAAUUAGCAACAAUAGAAAAUGAACAAAUGUCCAAUAUAAAAGACUGUUGGAUCUAAUGAGAAUACCUUUUUCUCCCUUCAAAUUUUUUCAUGUAUUCAAAUAGUUCAAGAUUUGGUUUCGUUGUCUUCGUGUACCAUGUUACAAAUAUUCUCUGAAGAAGGUUUGGCUUACCCUUCUUCAGCACAUCGCUUGUUCAUUGGUCUUCUUCUUUUUUUUUCGUCUGUGUAUAUUGUACGUACUGAUAUUUUUUCUGGUGGUUUCAGUGUCAGCUUAUGUCCAUCUGGCUCUUAAUUUUCUAACCUUGCAUAUGUCAAGAUUUAUUGGACAAGCUGGCUUGUAGAAGUGUCUAAAUGUCCAUUGGUGACAGACUAUUGGAGUAAAACAAACUUGACUAAACUUGCAAAAUAACUCAAGUAUCCAAAUGUCCAUUUGGUAACAGAGUAUUGGAAUUAGGCAUUUUGAUGGAUCAUAGUCUUGCACUUCCGUCAAAAGUAUGUGCCGACUCUUUCAAACAAAAUUGGAAAACACUUGUGGCAUGAAAUAAUUUCUUGGAGUUGGGUAAUGAAUGCUGUUGGAUUUUAGGCUAGACCACUAACUUUUCCUUUGAGUUUGUCAUCUUUUUUGUUUCAAUGCAGCCAAUUUUGCUGGUUCACAUGGAAUCCAGUGUUAAAAGAAGCUACCAAUUAAAAUCAAUGUGUAUGACUUUUCUAUUCUCACGAAGAGAUGGGACCUCUUAAGCCCCUCGUUUAUCUCCUUCAGGUAAGUUUAAUUCCUUCGAUUGCAAGUUGUUCCUGUUGCAAUAUAAACUUUUCUUUUUCUGAAUGACAUCUUUUGUUUGCCAAAGUUAAAAGCAGCUACCGGCGGCUUAGUGAGUUUGCUCCUAGUUGAAGUAAUUCUAAAGGAGUGUGCAAUAUUCUUCCAGGCAAGAUAACAAGCUGUUCACUUUUUUAAAUUUCAUGGACAAUCAUCACUGAGCAAUUAAAAUUUGUGCUACCAGUGUCUGUGGAGUGUCUUAUCAAUGCAAUAUUUUUCUUUUCUUGUUCUUUUGGAUGGAAAUACAAGACUACCUAUAUAAGCUUAAUGCAAUCUCCUGUAUAUGCUAAUGUGUUCAUGAUCAAAAUUUUCUUGUGUUGACCUUACAGAUUGUGCUACUUGGUUUAGUUGAUACAGAUUCCUGGUUUUACAGAAAUACCUUAAUGCUUCUAGAACCUACCAUUUUUGGGGUGAUUAUUAUUAGGCUAUAUGCUAUUACUUGCCUUACAAGUGGAACUCGUUUCUUACUUUUGUGCUACAUUUCAGGUUUGGACAUCUGCAGUUGUUGUAAUUGUUCUGAUCUGAGGCAGGAUGCGAUGAUGGAUGAACCAUUUAGAAGUUUAGAGCUGGUUUGUGUGGCUACUUUAAUCACAUUCCCUAGUGCUGCCACCCCUGAUUUUGCUGCAGAGCCUGCACUCAACUUGCAGCAGAUAUAGAGGAUGAGACCACAAACACGGAUUCUCCUAUGGAAUUGUUGAGUUCGUGUCUUUAGUUUGUUGCAUUAGUAAUAUCUUCUUUGUUGCUCAUUAAAUAAUUCUCUGUCGACCUUUUAUUUUUUUUUGCUUUUGAUGGAUGUGUAGAUUUCAUUUUGACAGUUUUGCAGGGUUCGUUUAUUGUUGGUUUGCAGAUUUAUUUAAUUUGUAGCAAGUGCCAUACGAAAAAAUAUUCACUUGUAUACUACCAAGUAGAAUUACAAUUCUUGUUGCCUGCAACUGAAAUUUGCAGAACUUGCUGUUUGAAUAGUUGUUGUCUACUGAAAUCACUAUACCUGAAAGCAUCUGAACAUUUAUUUGCUCUAUCAUGAAAACAAGAAACAAAAACAAAAAGACCAAGUGAGCUAAUUUUAAUUGAGACCUACUGCUGAGAUAAUUUGAUUUUGAUUUCAUCAGGUCUUAGUACUUCAGAUCCCCUCAUGUUGAUAAGAAGCUCUGUUAUAUUUUGAUGUAUUAAUUUUGUAGGUUAUAUGGAACUCACAACUUUGCCUGAUGUUAUAUUGGUCUCAUGCAGGUUUUUGGCACUUGGUUUCAUCCAUGUGAAGUAAACGGGCCCUUGUAUAUUAUCAUGCUUUGCAAUCUUGAAUUUAGUUAUGGGUUAUUUGCUCUUAAAAUGAAUCAGAGCUUGUCUGACAGUGUCUACCCAACUUUAAUCUAAACUGUAAAGGAUUAUGAUAUAAAUAAUAACUUGAACUGCUUUUUUUUUAUAUAAUAAUUGAGCUUAUAGCCUCUAGUAUAACUAAUCAUGAUUUUGAAGUGCUUAAUCAUUAUUUAUGGAGAUGCAUUCCCUGAUUCAUUAUGGUGAAAGCCAUUUAUCAGUCUUCAAAACAGGGACCUUAUGCACUUGAGGGCUUCAUGUCAAUUAGAUCAAUGGGCUAACAUACAUAAUAUGAUGGUUUUAUUGUUGUCAUGAAUCAGGUUAAAGAGAGCUUGCUGGCUCCAGUUCUUUGUUCAUGUUCAGUCAAAGAAGAAAAUUUGUUCCUUAGGAUGUCAAGAAUUAAAGCCCCAUUACCAUCCUUCAGCUCUUGGUUGGUUCAAACUUUAAACGUAAGUCUCAAGUUUAAGCAUUGUAGUGUGAGUUAAGAUCCUCUAUUUCAAUGAAUGUUUCCAAUGAGGCAUACCGCUGCAUUGUAAUGACAUCCACCUUUGAGGGUUGGGUGGAUCAGACUGGAAAUUGAGAUUAUCAUCAUUAUUAUGUUUAAAGCAUGAUUGUAGCUAAUUCUUUUACCAUCAAGAAGACUUGUGCUUGAAAUUGUUUGAGUCCACUGGUGGAAUUCAACCAGUAGCAGAAGUGAAGAAAUCAUUUAUUUCAAUGGAAGAUGGUUUUACUCGACACCAAAGACAGGAGUGAGUGGCUCGAAGCAACUCGAGAGACCUGGAAGAAGAGCUUUUCACCUUGAAAAUGACACUAGAGGACUGAGACAUGGAAGGAUAUUGUGAUGGUUUUAUAUAUGCUUGGUAACUAGUCAAUGUUUUAUUGUUAUACAGCGAAAUGUUCUCAUUAAACAAUUAAAUCUGAUGGACUUUGACAAGUAUGAGC
rnacentral:lncRNA from 1 species